rnacentral:rRNA from 1 species
UACAGAGGGUGCGAGCGUUAAUCGGAAUUACUGGGCGUAAAGCGUGCGUAGACGGCUAUCUAAGUCGGGUGUGAAAGCCCCGGGCCCAACCUGGGAAUUGCAUUCGAGACUGAAUAGCUAGGGUACGGUAGAGGGAAGUGGAAUUUCCGGUGUAGCGGUGAAAUGCGUAGAUAUCGGAAGGAACAUCAGUGGCGAAAGCGACUUCCUGGACCAGUACCGACGUUCAGGCACGAAAGCGUGGGGAGCAAACAGG